rnacentral:tRNA from 1 species
GCCUCUGUAGCUUAAAAUCUCUAAAGCAUUG